rnacentral:lncRNA from 12 species
CCUAUAUCUCUGCCUCUCUCUGUGUUUCUCAUGAAUAAAUAAAUACAUCUUUAAAAAAAAAAAGAAAUUGAUUUUAUAAAAAACAGCUUGGUGCACCUGGGUGGCUCAGUUGAUUAGGCCUCUGACUCUUAAGAUUUCAACUCAGGUCAUGAUCUCAGGGUGGUGAGAUGGAGCCCUACAUCUAGGCAUAGAGCCUCCUUAAGAUUCUCUCUCCUUCUCUCUCUCCCCUUCCUGUGCUGCUCACACACAUGUGAGCACUUUCUUAAAAACAAAACAAAACAAAACAAAACCCCCAAAAACCUUUAUCUGAGACUUUUAGGCCCAAAGAAACUUCCAACUAAUAUCUUUUAGAAUUCAUGCAGUGUUACUCCUAUACCUUUUACUCCUGUAGGUGGUGCAGCCAAGUGAGAAUGAAUGUUCGGAGUGAGGACUCCAAAAUGCUUCAAGCUUUUCAAUCAAAGAAGUUUCAAUCAUGUUGGACCUGUACUGGUUACCAAGAAAAACCCAGGGUGCAUCUGCACUCAGAUGUUGGCAUCCAAGGAGAAAAGGUUGCCUAUUUCCUACCUAGGCUUUUUGUUGGAUGAUUGCAUUCUUUGCUGUUGGAAGCUUUCCUCUUUGUUAGAAGGUUCAUAGAGCACAGAGAGGUAAGUAAAAGUACGUGUCUGAAAUUAUGUUCAUUUUUCCUAAAAGAAUAUAGUAUAGUAGCGUGAUGGGUUUAGAUUUUCCAAAAAACUAUGAUAAUGAUGGUAUUUCCAAUUCCACACAUUUUUCUCCCACUAGCUCUUUUGUUCAUCCUCUAUUUAUAGAGUUCCUCCAAGGUCCUUUUUCAAGUAGUGAUGAGGGUUUAUAAGCUAGCCUAUAGAAUUUUAGAGUGAAUAGAAUACGAAAAACUGGAGGUAGAGAGUAU